CCCCGGUAAACGGCGGCCGUAACUAUAACGGUCCUAAGGUAGCGAAAUUCCUUGUCGGGUAAGUUCCGACCUGCACGAAUGGCGUAAUGAUGGCCAGGCUGUCUCCACCCGAGACUCAGUGAAAUUGAACUCGCUGUGAAGAUGCAGUGUACCCGCGGCAAGACGGAAAGACCCCGUGAACCUUUACUAUAGCUUGACACUGAACAUUGAGCCUUGAUGUGUAGGAUAGGUGGGAGGCUUUGAAGUGUGGACGCCAGUCUGCAUGGAGCCGACCUUGAAAUACCACCCUUUAAUGUUUGAUGUUCUAACGUGGACCCGUAAUCCGGGUUGCGGACAGUGUCUGGUGGGUAGUUUGACUGGGGCGGUCUCCUCCUAAAGAGUAACGGAGGAGCACGAAGGUUGGCUAAUCCUGGUCGGACAUCAGGAGGUUAGUGCAAUGGCAUAAGCCAGCUUGACUGCGAGCGUGACGGCGCGAGCAGGUGCGAAAGCAGGUCAUAGUGAUCCGGUGGUUCUGAAUGGAAGGGCCAUCGCUCAACGGAUAAAAGGUACUCCGGGGAUAACAGGCUGAUACCGCCCAAGAGUUCAUAUCGACGGCGGUGUUUGGCACCUCGAUGUCGGCUCAUCACAUCCUGGGGCUGAAGUAGGUCCCAAGGGUAUGGCUGUUCGCCAUUUAAAGUGGUACGCGAGCUGGGUUUAGAACGUCGUGAGACAGUUCGGUCCCUAUCUGCCGUGGGCGCUGGAGAACUGAGGGGGGCUGCUCCUAGUACGAGAGGACCGGAGUGGACGCAUCACUGGUGUUCGGGUUGUCAUGCCAAUGGCACUGCCCGGUAGCUAAA
rnacentral:rRNA from 1 species